GAAACUAAGAUUUUUGGCAUAGGUUGGAGUUGGCUUGAUGCUCCUACAACAACUGGGAGGUUACAGAGGAUUUGCCUAUUAUGUUAACAGCAUUUUAUAUUUAGCUGAUUUUAGUGAACAUUCUCGGCAUACUUUUAAUCGAUAGAUCAGGGAGACAGCCUCUUCUAAUGGUUUCCAUUGUUGGUGCAUUAUUUGGUUGCUUCCUUACAGGCCUGUCAUUCCUCUUGCAGGAUCUUUAGUGGUUGGAGGAAAUCACUCCAAUUAUGGCAUUUCUUGGCUGGCAUCCUGAUGUACAUGAGAUUUUAUUCAUUAGGAAUGUCUGGAAUUCCAUGGAUUAUAAUGUCUGAGAUAUUUCCUGUGAACAUAUAGGGUUCAGCUGGAAGCCUUCGCAAUCUGGUGAACUGGUUCUGUUCUUGGGUUGUUUCUUAUACUUUCAACUUUCUUCUUCAAUGGAACUCUGCUGGAACCUUCUUCAUAUUUUCAAGCAUUUCAGGGAUAGCUAUCAUUUUCAUUGCACAGCUGGUGCCUGAGACCAGGGGGAGAACACUAGAAGAAGUUCAAGCACCGAUUACUGCAAAUGUAGGGUAAGAAAUCUAGAAUAGCAUAUCAUGU